CCCAACCAUGUUUGCUGCAUGUGGAACCGGCUGUGUCGAUCCCGGGCGUUGCCCUCAGACCCUUUCGUUUCCCAAAGCUCAUUCACCACACCCGGAGGAACAAAGCCAAACAAGUCCCCUGAGAUGGCCGCCGGAGCUGUAACGCUUGGCCUUCCUCUGCCCUCUUACCGCCUCUCCACCCCGUUCCCGCCGUCAGCUCCAAGACCCCGCAAUCUCUUCCCAAAAGCCCACCGGAGGAGACCAUACCUACGUCCCAUCUCGUCUUCUCUGCUCGAAGGCGAGCAGCAGCUCUCCUUCACCGAGCCCGAAGCUGUCCUCCUCGAAUCCCUUCUCGGGAUACAGGGUAGAGGCCGCGCCGCUUCUCCCCAGCAGCUCCAGGAUGUCGAGCGUGCCGUGCAAACCCUGGAGAGUCUGCAAGGUCUUCCUGAACCUACAAGUUCCAGUCUGAUUGAAGGUUGCUGGCAACUGAUCUUCACUACAAGACCUGGAACAGCAUCCCCAAUACAAAGAACAUUUGUCGGGGUUGACUUUUUCAAAAUCUUUCAAGAGGUUUACCUUAGAACAGAUGACCCAAGGGUAUCCAACAUUGUGAAAUUCUCAGAUGCAAUUGGUGAGCUAAAAGUAGAGGCAGCAGCAAAAAUCAAAGAUAGAAGACGCAUCCUUUUCCAAUUUGACCGUGCAGCAUUCUCCUUUAAAUUCUUACCUUUCAAGGUUCCAUACCCUGUGCCAUUUAGGCUUCUUGGAGAUGAAGCAAAGGGUUGGUUGGACACUACAUAUUUAUCCCAUAAUGGAAAUAUACGUAUUUCAAGAGGGAACAAGGGUACCACAUUUGUGCUGCAAAAGGAAACCGAACCAAGACAAAGGUUGCUAUCAGCCAUAUCUGGUGGGACAGGAGUAACAGAGGUGAUUGAUGAACUUGUAUCUUUGAAUCCGAAAGAGGUUGCAGAUGUAUCAGUAACUAUGGAGGGAGAAUGGCAAUUACUGUGGGCUUCACAGAUGAAAAAUGAAAGCUGGUCAUCCAUUGCUGCUAAUGGUCUCAAAGGUUUACAGAUUGUAACAGUAGAUGGACGACUGGAGAAUCUGGUUGACCCAUUUCCAGGUUUCAAAAUUAGUGCUAAUGGCAAUCUUAUCAGAAUAUCCAACAGCAACAUGUACAUUGUCACGAUGAAAGAUGGGGCUGUUUCAGUUGGUACCUUAAAAUUCCCCCUGGAUAUUAAGAGCGAGUUUCGCAUGGAAUUGCUAAUACCAAGGCUUCUUUGCUACUGGCUCACGAAAAGGAAAGCCGCAUCAUCAAUCUAAGGAGUUGGUCAGCAACAGUUGCUUGUGCUGCCUGGGAUCGAUGCUAGACCUGAUCUAAUGGACUCCAGGUGCUGCCCAUUAAAGUUUUUCCUAUAUUAGUUGCUGGCUAAGAACAUACUCCCUGACCAUCCUCCAUAUCCCAAGCUGGACUGAAGUUAUGAUGUCUAAUCCAGUUCACCUGAUACAAGGAUGAGCCAGAUUCUUCACCUGCAGCUCCACAAGAUCUUUCUUUAGAUAUAAAGAAAACGUAAAAGAUGUGAACCCCCUGCAGGUGUAUAACUGUCAUUAAUUUUCUAUUAGAUAAAAAUGUUCUCUUUUUUAUCAAAUGCUCGGCUUGCUGUUGGGUUUA